UUGGCUUUAUUGCUACCAGUUCCCAUGAUCAGUACCAAGUUAAUUAAUCUCAGCAGAAGGUAGUUAUUUACAAUGUAAUGUUUCAAGGCAAUUGAUCAACUUACUACGAAACCAUUAAUAUUUCAAUACAGCCAGCAAUGAACCAAAUAAAGUGCCUAAAGAGAUUUAAGUAGCCUAUCAUAUAUAUUGAAAAUAAUAUUCAAAUGUUUAAACAUAGCUUGAACAAUUCCCAAUAACAAUUUCGAAUGGAUUGUAAAUGCAGAAAAUCACCUUCCCAGUAGAUGGAUUUUCAUUUAAAAGGACAAAAGAAUAACAAAAAAUAAAAAUUCCAGUACACCCUACAAAUCAUUGAAUUGUUUGUAGCGUUCAUAGUUGUAAGUUACUUUCCUAGAAAUAACUCAAAGCAAGUAUUUUAGGAGAAAUAAAAAUACUCAUUUGAUUCCCAUUUUUUUCAAAAUACAUUUUUCACUCUCUUCUUAAGAGCACAUUCUUCGUUAAAAUAAUAUUACAAGUAAAUAAAAAAAUUUCCUUAAUUGAAAAAUUAGAGCCCGCCCUCAGAUCUCAUAGCUUCUAGAAUCACAGAUGGCUAAUCCGAUGCGGAUCCAUCAGAGGCCGCUUACACACCACCAUCACAAUCAAGCAACCAAGUGUAUGUGUGUGCAUCUAUCUAUCUAUCAAUAGUAAAAAGUAUAGGAGGAGGAGGAGGUGGUGGUGGUGGUGGAGGCAGCUGAUUAUUCCGGUGAUGCGCAAAGGCCAACGAUGAAUCAAACACCACCGUGCCGCAUCAAUGCAUUAAUUUUUUUCCAUCAUUGGGCAAAUUUAAUAGAAAAACAAUUAAAUAUAAAGCAAAUUACAAUUUAUACACACACAGGUAAGUGGCGACGGCAUGAAGAAUGCCCAAAUAGGUUUUUUUGGACAGCGGGGAAGAGAUGGGAAUGAGAUUUUAUUGAUAUAUUGGAC
rnacentral:lncRNA from 1 species